rnacentral:snRNA from 1 species
AAGACAGAAAGUCAGCAUCAAUUCUUAUAUGGCUCUUGCCUUUUACCAGAGCCAUCAGGGUACUGCUUUCAAAUGUCUUUACGCUUGUUUUUGGAACCUUCAGAAAAUCUUCAUGAGGUU